rnacentral:rRNA from 1 species
UACAGAGGUCUCGAGCGUUGUUCGGAUUCAUUGGGCGUAAAGGGCUCGUAGGUGGCCAACUAAGUCAGACGUGAAAUCCCUCGGCUUAACCGGGGAACUGCGUCUGAUACUGGAUGGCUUGAGUUUGGGAGAGGGACGCGGAAUUCCAGGUGUAGCGGUGAAAUGCGUAGAUAUCGGAAGGAACACCAGUGGCGAAAGCGGCUUCCUGGUCCAGCACCGACGUUCAGGCACGAAAGCGUGGGGAGCAAACAGG